rnacentral:rRNA from 1 species
CAGUCGCCGCGGGAAUACGGAGGAUCCGAGCGUUAUCCGGAUUUAUUGGGUUUAAAGGGUGCGUAGGCGGCCUGUUAAGUCAGGGGUGAAAGACGGUAGCUCAACUAUCGCAGUGCCUUUGAUACUGACGGGCUUGAAUGUACUUGAGGUAGGCGGAAUGUGACAAGUAGCGGUGAAAUGCAUAGAUAUGUCACAGAACACCAAUUGCGAAGGCAGCUUACUAAAGUAUGAUUGACGCUGAGGCACGAAAGCGUGGGGAUCAAACAGGAUUAGAUACCCCUGUAGUCCCUGUCUCUUAUAC